rnacentral:rRNA from 1 species
GAGUUUGAUCAUGGCUCAGAACGUACGCUGGCGGCACGCCUAACACAUGCAAGUCGAACGAAGUAGCAAUACUUAGUGGCAGACGGGUGAGUAACAUGUAGGUAUCUGCCCUUUGGCCUGGAAUAACACGAGGAAACUUGUGCUAAUACCGGAUAAGUCUUUACGGAGAAAGCUUUAUGCACCAUUGGAUGAGCCUGCACUUGAUUAGUUUGUUGGUGGGGUAAUGGCCUACCAAGACUGUGAUCAAUAGCUGAUUUGAGAGGAUGAUCAGCCACAUUGGGACUGAGACACGGCCCAAACUCCUACGGGAGGCAGCAGUGGGGAAUCUUGCACAAUGGAGGAAACUCUGAUGCAGCGAUGCCGCGUGAGUGAAGAAGGCCUUUGGGUUGUAAAGCUCUUUCGUCGGGGAAGAAAAUGACUGUACCCGAAUAAGAAGGUCCGGCUAACUUCGUGCCAGCAGCCGCGGUAAUACGAAGGGACCUAGCGUAGUUCGGAAUUACUGGGCUUAAAGAGUUCGUAGGUGGUUGAAAAAGUUGGUGGUGAGAUCCCAGAGCUUAACUCUGGAACUGCCAUCAAAACUUUUCAGCUAGAGUAUGAUAGAGGAAAGCAGAAUUUCUAGUGUAGAGGUGAGAUUCGUAGAUAUUAGAAAGAAUACCAAUUGCGAAGGCAGCUUUCUGGAUCAUUACUGACACUGAGGAACGAAAGCAUGGGUAGCGAAGAGGAUUAGAUACCCUCGUAGUCCAUGCCGUAAACGAUGUGUGUUAGACGUUGGAAAUUUAUUUUCAGUGUCGCAGCGAAAGCGAUAAACACACCGCCUGGGGAGUACGACCGCAAGGUUAAAACUCAAAUGAAUUGACGGGGACCCGCACAAGUAGUGGAGCAUGUGGUUUAAUUCGAAGAUACGCGCAGAACCUUACCAACACUUGACAUGUUCGUCGCGACUUUAAGAGAUUAAAGUUUUCGGUUCGGCCGGACGAAACACAGGUGCUGCAUGGCUGUCGUCAGCUCGUGUCGUGAGAUGUUGGGUUAAGUCCCGCAACGAGCGCAACCCUCACUUUUAGUUGCCAUCAUUAAGUUGGGCACUCUGAAAGAACUGCCAGUGAUAAGCUGGAGGAAGGUGGGGAUGACGUCAAGUCCUCAUGGCCCUUACGUGUUGGGCUACACACGUGCUACAAUGGUAUCUACAACAGGAAGCAAGACUGCGAAGUUAAGCAAAUCCUUAAAAGGUACCUCAGUUCGGAUUGCACUCUGCAACUCGAGUGCAUGAAGCUGGAAUUACUAGUAAUCGUGGAUCAGCGUGCCACGGUGAAUGCGU